GUAGUGAGCCCAAUUCUAAGACACAGGUUUCCAGGACACAGCUGCCAUGUAUAAUUCACCUUGGGAGAGGGACUUGAAGAUGCAGUUUUGGGGUCCACAUCCACAGAGACUACAAAUCACACAGAAACACAUUACUGACAGUGAGCGGAAGGUUUUCCACAUGCUUGGACACAUUUAUCUGUGCUUGUGAAUUUAUCAGUCCAUUCAACAUAUCCGUCUCCAUUCUGGAUCAAAUUCAAGAAUCAAUUUUACAGAUAAUGGCUGCUGUUCACCACUGUGCUGCCUGCAGCUAAAGAAAUAAAGAACAUGUACCAUCGUCCUGCUGUCAUCGAAAACAGACAAUCCCACAAUGUUCUGUUAAUAAAUGCAGAAUUACAACAACUUUAA